AAUCAACGCUGGCGGCGUGCCUAACACAUGCAAGUCGCGCGCGAACGGGGGGCAACCCCCAAGUAGAGCGGCGAACGGGUGAGUAACACGUGGGUAAUCUACCUUCGAGUGGGGAACAACACCGGGAAACUGGUGCUAAUUCCGCAUGACAUCGUCGGGCCUUCGGUCCUCGACGAUCAAAGACUGGGGAGUCGUAAGACCUAGUGCUUGAAGAUGAGCCCGCGCCCGAUUAGCUAGUUGGCGGGGUAAGUGGCCCACCAAGGCUUCGAUCGGUAGCCGGCCUGAGAGGGCGGACGGCCACACUGGAACUGAGACACGGUCCAGACUCCUACGGGAGGCAGCAGU
rnacentral:rRNA from 1 species